UUUCACCGAAAAAUCAAACGCCAUCGUCUGAUAUGGUUAUGACGGAGGUUGGCGUGUCAAUAAGAAUAGCGGUUUACGGGCCUUGGAUGGUUGUUGAGAAGAAAUCCAGGCGAAAAUCAAGUAAUUUGCAAAAUUCAAGAAUGGUUAAUCAGGAGAACAAGGCUAUGGGAUCCCGAUUUAUGGCUUUGAUUUCGACUGAUAAGAAAAAAGGGGAUUUCAGUCAAGAGAUUAAGA
rnacentral:lncRNA from 1 species